UACCCUGCUUUGAAAGACCCCAAAAAAAUCUCUGUUCUGUUCUGUUCUGUAGAGAGAAGUAGGAAAAAAAAAACCCGAGUGAGCAAGAAAAUGGCGGCAAAGCGAGGGAGAAACCGGUCGCCUUCUCCGGACCCGGAGGGGAUGUUCGCCGGAAUGGUAGUUUUUAUGGUCGAAAUCGGAGUCCAGCGUCAUCGAUUGCAGAUCUGGAAGCAGAAGCUGGUUCAAAUGGGUGCAGUUAUCGAGGAGGGUCGGUUAACGAAGAAAGUCACUCAUCUUCUUGCUAUGAACCCCGAAGCUCUUGUCCAGAAAUUUGGGAAGAAACGUCUUUCGCAUUUCACUGGACGCCUUAUGCUUUACCAGUGGUUAGAAGAUAGCCUAAUCGCAGGAGAGAAGGCUAAUGAAGACUUGUAUGUUCUCAAAAUUGACUCAGAAGAUAUGGAAGAGACAGACAAGUCUUUACCUGCAGCAUGUGGUGGUGAAGAUCAACCGUCAACUCCAAAACGUACUAGAUAUUCCCCUGAUGCUGGUGAAUUCAAAGGUCUAGAAAACCAAAAAUAUACAAAAGGAUCACCAGAUUCACCUACAAGUUGCAGUGUUCCCUCUAUUAGUGCCAGUCCUGGAGAAGGCAUUGUAGACACUCCGACUAGUCCACAAUCAGAGUCCACAUCGGUGUACAAACCACCUGAUUUGAACAGAAAUAUCACUGAGAUAUUUGGAAAGCUAAUAAACAUUUAUAGAGCUUUGGGUGAAGAUAGGCGGUCCUUUAGCUAUUACAAAGCUAUCCCUGUCAUUGAAAAGUUCCCCACUAGGAUUGAAAGCGUUGAUCAGCUCAAGCACCUCCCUGGAAUUGGAAAGUCAAUGAGAGAUCAUAUUCAAGAGAUUGUGACAACAGGGAAGUUGUCCAAAUUGGAACAUUUUGAAACAGAUGAAAAGGUUCGUACAAUCAGUUUGUUUGGGGAAGUUUGGGGUAUCGGUCCUGCAACUGCACUCAAGCUAUAUGAGAAAGGACAUCGCACACUAGAAGACUUGAAGAACGAGGAUUCACUAACACAUGCACAGAGGUUGGGGUUGAAAUAUUUUGAUGAUAUCAGAACAAGAAUUCCACGUCACGAGGUUCAAGAGAUGGAACAACUUCUACAGAGAGUCGGCGAGGAAACUUUGCCUGGUGUGAAUAUUGUAUGUGGAGGAUCAUACAGACGCGGGAAAGCUACUUGUGGAGAUCUAGAUAUCGUUAUCACACAUCCUGAUGGACAAAGUCACAAGGGAUUUUUGACAAAGUUUGUAAAGCGUUUAAAAGAAAUAAACUUCCUAAGAGAAGAUCUUAUCUUCAGCACCCACAGUGAAGAGGGUACUGAUUCAGGCGUUGACACGUAUUUUGGCCUGUGCACUUAUCCUGGUCAGGAGCUACGGCGCCGUAUUGAUUUUAAGGUUUAUCCAAGGGAUAUCUAUGCAUUUGGACUCAUAGCCUGGACGGGUAAUGACGUGCUGAACAGAAGGCUGAGAUUGCUAGCAGAAUCCAAAGGCUAUCGACUUGAUGACACUGGACUAUUCCCGGCUACUCACAGCUCUAGUGGUAACCGGGGUGCUAGAGGAACUGCAAGUCUGAAACUCUCAACGGAGAAACAAGUUUUCGAAUUCUUAGGAUUUCCUUGGCUCGAGACACACGAGAGGAAUCUCUAAGGCAUCACCAAAGGGAAAGCCUUUGAUAAUUGACAGUUAAGCUAAAGAACAAAACUCUUUCUUUUGCCCGUUUGGAUAGGUUCUAUAGUUUAAUCGGUUCUUUUUGUAAUUACAUAUCCAGGGACGUCUGAAUUAUAUAUAGAUGGGUAUGAUGUAUUGUGUAUCUUAAGGUUAAUCAAUGACACGUGUCAGAGCAUGUGUGGUUUAGUCUGGAAAUAAGAGUGUCAAAGUCCCACAUCGACAAGCCUGUGAAAGAGAAACGUCUUUAUAUAUGGGCAGAAAACAACAAUUGUCACGACCUUACUUGAACAGGAUCUGUUCUAUAGGCUCGUACCUCUGUAUCCUUGAUUUCUAUGGAGACAGGCCCUUAACCCUGGUUGAUGAACCAUGACCGUGCGAUCAGAGCGUGAUUAACGGCUACGAUCGUCCUCGGAUGUAUCCGGUGCUGUAGAGGAUCGUUACUCGGCUCGGUUCUACCUUGCCGGGGUGGUCGCACGGCGGUCUGACAG